AAUUACUUGGAAAUCAAUAUUAAGCGAUGCUAGGUGAAAGUGAAAAAUGAUCUGAAUAUUUGGAACGCAAUGCAAAUUUUCUUUAUUUAUUCACCCAGCACGCAACAAAGAGAAGCAAUAGAUGAAGUGCAAAAACACAGCAGCAGCAGAACAAAGAAGAAGAUAACCAAGAGCAAACACUACGACGACGUUGACCCACUACAGAAG